UACGGAGGGGGCUAGCGUUGUUCGGAAUUACUGGGCGUAAAGGGCUCGUAGGCGCCAACUAAGUCAGACGUGAAAUCCCUCGGCUUAACCGGGGAACUGCGUCUGAUACUGGUUGGCUUGAAUCCGGGAGAGGGAUGUGGAAUUCCAGGUGUAGCGGUGAAAUGCGUAGAUAUCUGGAGGAACACCGGUGGCGAAGGCGGCAUCCUGGACCGGCAUUGACGCUGAGGCGCGAAAGCCAGGGGAGCAAAGCGGG
rnacentral:rRNA from 1 species